CCUGGCUCCGCGAGAAGCGGCGGCAGCGAGGGCUGGAGGACCCGGGCUGCGGGGCUCCGGGGCGUCUGGCCUGGGUGGGACUGAGCCCAUCCAGGGACUGGGACUCCGGGGUUCUGGUGUAGGUGGAUCCGGGGCAGGCUCAGGACCAAGUCCCUCUCCUUCCACCAAGGAGCGCCCAGAGGCCGGCGGGAGCUCCAGGUUCACCUCCUCCUCCUCCAGGAAAUCCCACUUCCAACUGGAUGUCUGGAUGAACUACUGAAAGCUGCUGAGUGUCCUGCAGCAGGUGAGCUGUGGCCAGAGCCCAAGGAUGAAGGGGGCUCCCUCACUCUGUGACUGUGAAGAGGAACCCUGAGGUGUAGCAGGCCCAGGCCCCAGAAGUAUGGAAAAAAUGAGCUUGACUACAACACAAAUGAAUCCACUCAAAUGUUGGCAAGUGGAGCAGAGUCCCAGAACAGAUCACAUUCUUAACCUCUAGAGAGUCUGGCAGGACCAGAGCCUUACCUUUCCCAGUCUGCAAUCUCUACAGGUACAGAAACACCCCCAGUUCAAGGAUCUUCACACCUGGAUUUAGGCCUACUCCUGCAACUACCCCAGGCACCAAUUUGAUCUUCUACUACUUUGCAGACAUCUCUUCUGCAAACACCAGACAAAUUGAGACAAUGACCUUCCACAGGACCCAAAUCACCUCUUACUGCAGGAAAGAAGAUCCAGUGAGAAAAUUAGUCCACAAAUGGAAUGUAAAUCCAUAAACACUCUUAAGUAACAGAAUAAAUUUAGUAUGA
rnacentral:lncRNA from 1 species